rnacentral:tRNA from 1 species
GGUGGAUGUAGCUCAGUUGGUUAGAGCGCUGGAUUGUGGUUCCAGAGGGCGUGGGUUCAAAUCCCAUCUUCCACCC